GCCUGGGUGGCUCAGUCGGUAAAGUGUCUGACUCUGGCUCAGGUCAUGAUCUCACGGUUUGUGAGUUCAAGCCCCAUGUCAGGCU
rfam:Felis catus isolate Cinnamon breed Abyssinian chromosome A2, whole genome shotgun sequence.